rnacentral:tRNA from 1 species
GCAGGUAUGGUUCAGUGGUGGAGCACAUGCUUAGCAUGCACAGGGUCCUGGGUUCAAUCCCCAGUAACUCCA